ACACCACAUCAAAAGUGGAGUCGCCAUAUUGAAAACUGCAUUGUCAUUUCACAUUGAAGACACUGAAUUUUUCUUUUUUUUCACUUAAAAUGGACAGAAUAUUACGGCUAGGAUCUGGUGGUAUUCCUGGAGUCGGGCAGGCUCCUCCGAGUGAUGCACCAGUUGUGGAUACAACAGAACAAGUUUAUAUCUCAUCAUUAGCUCUUUUAAAGAUGUUAAAACAUGGUAAGUAAUAUUCCAUUAUGAAAUUUACUUUUAUUUCAUUUAUGGCUAAUAUUAUUUUGGAGAUGAAACCCAUAUCAUGCUAUUUUCCACCC